ACUACGGGAGGCAGCAGUGGGGAAUAUUGCACAAUGGGGGAAACCCUGAUGCAGCGACGCCGCGUGAGUGAAGAAGUAUCUCGGUACGUAAAGCUCUAUCAGCAGGGAAGAAAAUGACGGUACCUGACUAAGAAGCCCCGGCUAACUACGUGCCAGCAGCCGCGGUAAUACGGAGGGGGCAAGCGUUAUCCGGAUUUACUGGGUGUAAAGGGAGCGUAGAAGGCAGCGCAAGUCUGGAGUGAAAUGCCGGGGCCCAACCCCGGAACUGCUUUGGAAAAUGUGCAGCUCGAGUGCAGGAGAGGUAAGCGGAAUUCCUAGUGUAGCGGUGAAAUGCGUAGAUAUUAGGAGGAACUCCGAUUGCGAAGGCAGCCUACUAAACUGCCACUGACAUUGAUGCUCGAAAGUGUGGGUAUCAAACAGGAUUAGAUACCCUUGUAGUC
rnacentral:rRNA from 1 species